AGUGAACGCUGGCGGUAGGCCUAACACAUGCAAGUCGAACGGCGGCACAGUAAGAGCUUGCUCUUACGGGUGGCGAGUGGCGGACGGGUGAGGAAUACAUCGGAAUCUACUUUUUCGUGGGGGAUAACGUAGGGAAACUUACGCUAAUACCGCAUACGACCUACGGGUGAAAGCAUGGGAUCUUCGGACCUUGCGCGAUUGAAUGAGCCGAUGUCGGAUUAGCUAGUUGGCGGGGUAAAGGCCCACCAAGGCGACGAUCCGUAGCUGGUCUGAGAGGAUGAUCAGCCACACUGGAACUGAGACACGGUCCAGACUCCUACGGGAGGCAGCAGUGGGGAAUAUUGGACAAUGGGCGCAAGCCUGAUCCAGCCAUACCGCGUGGGUGAAGAAGGCCUUCGGGUUGUAAAGCCCUUUUGUUGGGAAAGAAAAGCAGCAGGUUAAUACCCCGCUGUUCUGACGGUACCCAAAGAAUAAGCACCGGCUAACUUCGUG
rnacentral:rRNA from 1 species